UCGAGAAUUUUUCUCAAUGGGCGAAAGCCUGAAGGAGCGACGCCGCGUGGGGGAUGAAGGGUUUCGAUCCGUAAACCCCUGUCAUUUGUGAACAAUGGUUAUUCAUGAAUAAUGGGUAAUUUGAUAGUAACGAAAGAGGAAGGGACGGCUAACUCUGUGCCAGCAGCCGCGGUAAUACAGAGGUCCCAAGCGUUGUUCGGAUUCACUGGGCGUAAAGGGUGCGUAGGUGGUGGGGUAAGUUUGAUGUGAAAUCUCCGGGCUUAACCCGGAAAUGGCAUUGAAUACUAUUCCGCUAGAGGUUUGGAGGGGGGACUGGAAUUCUCGGUGUAGCAGUGAAAUGCGUAGAUAUCGAGAGGAACACCGGUGGCGAAGGCGAGUCCCUGGACAACACCUGACACUGAGGCAAAAGCUAGGGGAGCAAACAG
rnacentral:rRNA from 1 species